AUACAUGCAAGUCGAGCGGACAGAUGGGAGCUUGCUCCCUGAUGUUAGCGGCGGACGGGUGAGUAACACGUGGGUAACCUGCCUGUAAGACUGGGAUAACUCCGGGAAACCGGGGCUAAUACCGGAUGGUUGUUUGAACCGCAUGGUUCAAACAUAAAAGGUGGCUUCGGCUACCACUUACAGAUGGACCCGCGGCGCAUUAGCUAGUUGGUGAGGUAACGGCUCACCAAGGCAACGAUGCGUAGCCGACCUGAGAGGGUGAUCGGCCACACUGGGACUGAGACACGGCCCAGACUCCUACGGGAGGCAGCAGUAGGGAAUCUUCCGCAAUGGACGAAAGUCUGACGGAGCAACGCCGCGUGAGUGAUGAAGGUUUUCGGAUCGUAAAGCUCUGUUGUUAGGGAAGAACAAGUACCGUUCGAAUAGGGCGGUACCUUGACGGUACCUAACCAGAAAGCCACGGCUAACUACGUGCCAGCAGCCGCGGUAAUACGUAGGUGGCAAGCGUUGUCCGGAAUUAUUGGGCGUAAAGGGCUCGCAGGCGGUUUCUUAAGUCUGAUGUGAAAGCCCCCGGCUCAACCGGGGAGGGUCAUUGGAAACUGGGGAACUUGAGUGCAGAAGAGGAGAGUGGAAUUCCACGUGUAGCGGUGAAAUGCGUAGAGAUGUGGAGGAACACCAGUGGCGAAGGCGACUCUCUGGUCUGUAACUGACGCUGAGGAGCGAAAGCGUGGGGAGCGAACAGGAUUAGAUACCC
rnacentral:rRNA from 1 species